rnacentral:rRNA from 1 species
AUUGAACGCUGGCGGCAUGCCUUACACAUGCAAGUCGAACGGUAACAGGUCUUCGGAUGCUGACGAGUGGCGAACGGGUGAGUAAUACAUCGGAACGUGCCUAGUAGUGGGGGAUAACUACUCGAAAGAGUGGCUAAUACCGCAUGAGAUCUACGGAUGAAAGCAGGGGAUCGCAAGACCUUGUGCUACUAGAGCGGCCGAUGGCAGAUUAGGUAGUGGGUGGGAUAAAAGCUUACCAAGCCGACGAUCUGUAGCUGGUCUGAGAGGACGAUCAGCCACACUGGGACUGAGACACGGCCCAGACUCCUACGGGAGGCAGCAGUGGGGAAUUUUGGACAAUGGGCGAAAGCCUGAUCCAGCAAUGCCGCGUGCAGGAUGAAGGCCUUCGGAUUGUAAACUGCUUUUGUACGGAACGAAAAGCCCCGGGUUAAUACCCUGGGGUCAUGACGGUACCGUAAGAAUAAGCACCGGCUAACUACGUGCCAGCAGCCGCGGUAA